rnacentral:rRNA from 1 species
UAAACGCUGGCGGCGUGCUUAACACAUGCAAGUCGAACGGAGUGGUCCUCCCGAAGACCUGAUGGUGCUUGCACCUGAUGGAAUUCAUUUGGAUCACUUAGUGGCGGACGGGUGAGUAACGCGUGGGUAACCUGCCUCACACUGGGGGAUAGCAGUUGGAAACGACUGAUAAUACCGCAUAAGCGCACAGUAUCGCAUGAUACAGUGUGAAAAACUCCGGUGGUGUGAGAUGGACCCGCGUCUGAUUAGCUAGUUGGUGAGGUAACGGCCCACCAAGGCGACGAUCAGUAGCCGGCCUGAGAGGGUGUACGGCCACAUUGGGACUGAGACACGGCCCAAACUCCUACGGGAGGCAGCAGUGGGGAAUAUUGGACAAUGGGGGAAACCCUGAUCCAGCGAACCGCCGCGUGAGUGAAGAAGUAUCUCGGUAUGUAAAGCUCUAUCAGCAGGGAAGAUAAUGACGGUACCUGACUAAGAAGCACCGGCUAAAUACGUGCCAGCCGCCGC